rnacentral:rRNA from 1 species
GAUGAACGCUAGCGACAGGCUUAACACAUGCAAGUCGAGGGGCAGCAGGGGAGUAGCAAUACUCCCGCUGGCGACCGGCGCACGGGUGAGUAACACGUAUGCAACCUGCCCUUGUCAGGGGGAUAAGCGGAAGAAAUUCCGUCUAAUACCGCAUAACGCUGCGGGGAGACAUCUCCCUGCAGCCAAAGAUUUAUCGGACAAGGAUGGGCAUGCGGCGCAUUAGCUUGUUGGCGGGGUAACGGCCCACCAAGGCGACGAUGCGUAGGGGUUCUGAGAGGAAGGUCCCCCACACUGGUACUGAGACACGGACCAGACUCCUACGGGAGGCAGCAGUGAGGAAUAUUGGUCAAUGGCCGGGAGGCUGAACCAGCCAAGUCGCGUGAGGGAAGACGGUCCUAUGGAUUGUAAACCUCUUUUGUCAGGGAGCAAAAACUGCCACGCGUGGCAGGAUGAGAGUACCUGAAGAAAAAGCAUCGGCUAACUCCGUGCCAGCAGCCGCGGUAAUACGGAGGAUGCGAGCGUUAUCCGGAUUUAUUGGGUUUAAAGGGUGCGUAGGCGGACAGUUAAGUCAGCGGUAAAAUUGAGAGGCUCAACCUCUUCCCGCCGUUGAAACUGAUUGUCUUGAGUGGGCGAGAAGUAUGCGGAAUGCGUGGUGUAGCGGUGAAAUGCAUAGAUAUCACGCAGAACUCCGAUUGCGAAGGCAGCAUACCGGCGCCCAACUGACGCUGAAGCACGAAAGCGUGGGUAUCGAACAGGAUUAGAUACCCUGGUAGUCCACGCAGUAAACGAUGAAUACUAAUUGUUCGGGUCGAGUGAGAUCUGAGUGAUACAGCGAAAGCGUUAAGUAUUCCACCUGGGGAGUACGCCGGCAACGGUGAAACUCAAAGGAAUUGACGGGGGCCCGCACAAGCGGAGGAACAUGUGGUUUAAUUCGAUGAUACGCGAGGAACCUUACCCGGGCUCAAACGACACAGGAAUGAUCUGAGAAAUCAGGCAGUCCUUCGGGACCUGUGUCGAGGUGCUGCAUGGUUGUCGUCAGCUCGUGCCGUGAGGUGUCGGCUUAAGUGCCAUAACGAGCGCAACCCCCAUCGACAGUUGCCAGUAGGUCAAGCUGGGCACUCUGUCGAGACUGCCGGCGCAAGCUGUGAGGAAGGCGGGGAUGACGUCAAAUCAGCACGGCCCUUACGUCCGGGGCGACACACGUGUUACAAUGGCAGGUACAGCGGGAAGCCACCUGGCGACAGGGAGCGGAACCCGAAAGCCUGUCUCAGUUCGGAUUGGAGUCUGCAACUCGACUCCAUGAAGCUGGAUUCGCUAGUAAUCGCGCAUCAGCCACGGCGCGGUGAAUACGUUCCCGGGCCU